rnacentral:rRNA from 1 species
CAGCCGCCGCGGUAAUACGUAGGGUGCGAGCGUUAAUCGGAUUUACUGGGCGUAAAGCGUGCGCAGGCGGCCCGUUAAGACAGGUGUGAAAUCCCUGGGCUCAACCUAGGAAUUGCGCUUGUGACUGGCGGGCUCGAGUACGGUAGAGGGGGGUGGAAUUCCUGGUGUAGCAGUGAAAUGCGUAGAGACCAGGAGGAACACCGAUGGCGAAGGCAGCCCCCUGGGCCUGUACUGACGCUCAUGCACGAAAGCGUGGGGAGCAAACAGGAUUAGAUACCCUGGUAGUCCACGCCCUAAACGAUGGGUACUAGCCGUUUGGUGCGCGAUAGCGCUGAGUGGCGAAGCUAACGCGAGAAGUACCCCGCCUGGGGAGUACGGCCGCAAGGUUGAAACUUAAAGGAAUUGGCGGG